rnacentral:rRNA from 1 species
GACGAACGCUGGCGGCGUGCUUAACACAUGCAAGUCGAACGAAACGGCCCUGCUUUUGUGCGGUGCUCGAGUGGCGACCUGGUGAGUAACCCGUAAGUUCCCUGCACUUGACUGUGGGAUAUCUUCAGGACACUGGGGCUCAUACCGGCUAGGAGCUACCGCUGCAUGGUGGGCGUUGGAAAGUUUCGGCGGUUGGGGAUGGACUCGCGGCUUAUCAGCUUGUUGGUGGGGUAGUGUCUUACCAAGGCUAUGCCGGGUAGCCGGGCUGAGCGGGGGACAGGCCAAACUGCGAUUGAGAUGCGGCACAGACUCCUACGGUACGCAGCGGUGGGGAAGAGUGCACAAUGGGCGGAAGCCUAAUGUAGCAACGCCGCGCGCGGGAUGACAGCCUGCGGGUUGGAAACCGAAUUCGCUUUUGACGAAGCGUGAGUGACGGUAAUGGGUAAAGAAGCACCGGCUAACUACGUG